UUAAAACAAUACAUAUAAAUGUGGUUCCGUGAAAGACAGAGCGUGAACUGGGAAACUCGGUUUUUCGCGCGAAAUCGAUAACGCGGGCAAAACACGCGGGGUGACUCGCGACAUAGCGUUGUUGACAAGGGCCAAUGCAAGCAUAUCACAACAAGAAUGGCCAAUUUGGAAUUUACCUUCAUACAUUUCUCCUGUAUUUUAUUAUAUACCGGCCUAAAAUUAAAUGCAGGUAAGUUAAUAUAAAAUUUACUGUGUUUAGAUGUAUUACUAAGCUAUAAGAAUAAAUAUUUUAAUUAUUUGAUAGACGAACUUCCACCGCUUACAAAUGAUGUUCUUCAAAUGACUUACACGGGACGUCCUGUUUGUGCAUACUUCAAACAUGCAGG
rnacentral:lncRNA from 1 species